UACGGAGGGUGCAAGGCGUUAUCCGGAUUUACUGGGUUUAAAGGGUGGCGUAGGUGGGCAGGUAAGUCAGUGGUGAAAUCUCCGGGCUUAACUCGGAAACUGCCAUUGAUACUAUUUGUCUUGAAUAUUCCUGGAGGUAAGCGGAAUAUGUCAUGUGAAGCGGUGAAAUGCUUAGAUAUGACAUAGAACACCCAUUGGCGAAGGCAGCUUACGUACGGGAUCAUUGACACUGAGGCACGAAAGCGUGGGGAUCAAAACAGGAU
rnacentral:rRNA from 1 species